rnacentral:rRNA from 1 species
GUCAGGGAAUUACGAGCAAAGCUUAAAACCCAAAGGACUUGACGGUACCCCACAUCCCCCUAGAGGAGCCUGUCCUAUAAUCGAUAAUCCCCGUUUAACCUCACCACACCUAGCUUAUCAGCCUGUAUACUUCCGUCGCAAGCCUACCACAUGAGCGAAGCUUAGUUAGCCCAAUGUCCACACAUAAAUGUGCUAUCGACAAUACGUCAGGUCAAAGUGCAGCAAACGCUGUGGGAUGAGAUUGGCUACACUUUUUAAUCUAAAAGAAACGGAAAACAAUAAUGAAAUUUUGUCAGAAGGUGGAUUUAGCAGUAAAAGAAAAUUACAAAAUCUCUUUUAACUCGGCACUGGGGUGUGU